UUGUAAGUAUUUUGCAUUCUUCUGGUUAUCUCAGCUAUCAUAGCCUCAAAUUGAACUUGGUUGAGGUUGAUUUGCUGGACAGCCGGUUCUCCUGAACUCUCAGGUUGCUUUCCAUCUCGCCUCUCUUCACUCAUUGUUCCUGAAAUAGUUAGAGAAAACACAAAGCCAGGAACAAAAUUAUCUCUCUCUCACUCAAGUUUUCAAAUCGCCAAGUCUCAGCUCUUCCCACAAGUUCAGUUGAAAAACAAAGUUCUACACUUAAGAUCUAGAACUAAAACCCCAAUGAAUCAGAUAGAAAGUAUUAAGAGAUUUAGGCACCAGCUGACUUUACCACCCUGAGCUGGAUUUCUCUUCAGCUAGCUGGAUUACUCUUCAGCUAUAUAUAUUUUUUUUGAUUUGGAUCAGAGAUCUCUUUUCUUUUUUUUUUUUGAUUUGCAGGGUUGGCUCAGCUGGCUUACAACAGAUAGAAAGAUAAGAGAAGUGUUUGAUGGAAUGAAUGAUCUGAGUAGUCAAAUUGCAAACCCUAACCUUCAAGUGGCUCUGAUACCACUUGGUGCAGCCUGGGUAUGGCUUAAACUCUGGAUCACUUGAAGGUGGAUGGAUAGAGGGUGUUCUAAGAGGCUACUAGCUCUCCUUUGAACUAUGAACGUCUCCCUGAGCCUGUGGGUUGGCGCCAAGGAUGGUUUGCUACUCAAAGACACAACAUCACCUUGUAUUGUCUAAGAUGGGAUUCACAGGAAUUCCUUCCUUUAAGUGAGAUCAAUGUUCUAGAGCUGAACAGAGAAAGCUAGAGACAAGACAACAAAGUUGACUGAAUAAUUCUUAGAUUGAAAGUUGAGAAAACAAAGCUGCAGCCCCCAUGUUCUUAAAGUAAAAAUCGAAAACCCUAAUGCUAAACCAAGGUGGUUUAAUUCUAAUUCUAAUCCUAAUUGUCUUUGGUUUAAAUUAAAUGAAAGCCCAAUAACCAAACCCUUACAAAGUAAUUAAAUUAAACCAACAAGCUGGUUUAUCUUGAUCUCCUUGCCUUGAACCAAGGCCCACGGUUUUGGCUAUCUCCUGGAGCCUCU
rnacentral:lncRNA from 1 species